CAACACGUUAGAAUCCUCCAUUUUGUCCCUCCUAUUGGCAAUGCACAAGUGUGGCUUGGAAUGAAGGGACUGUGUGGUUGCCAGGGUGACCCCAAGGACCAGUUAUUGCACAUAUGGUUCUGCAAAUGGAAGUUCCUGAGUCGGACCAAUGGCAGGAAAGAAGAUUUGCGAACUCGCCCAGGGCAAAGCUGGUGUAAAGUUUUAGAUAAAUGUUCAGAAUUAACCACCUCCUGUUACUCCUAAGAGCCGAAACAGAAAAUGACCGUCUGUUGGUUACAGAUCUGAGGAUAAGCCCCGCCAAGGACGCCGGAUGUGUGCUCACGGACUGUCUGGGCCCGCUGCAUCGAAGGCUUCCCCACCUGGGAUUCCCUCUCAGUAAUCUACAUGUUCUCAAGACAUGGGGAGGAGAAGAAAAGCAACCUUAUCAUUCAGGGAUUACGACCUUCCUUGGCUCCAACGAUUCAACUUUAAAUAUUUACUUGGCAGCUGAUUCAAAUUCAAAUAAACUUGCAGUUAUUGGGUGAAAUAAAGUGUGCCC
rnacentral:lncRNA from 1 species